AUCUCCCCACACCUGAGCUGUUUUCAGGGGAUGUAGGGAAGUGUGCGGGUUUUCUUAUGCAGUGCUCUCUCCAGUUUCGCCAGCGGCCUCAUGCCUUCUCUAAUGACGGGAGUAAGAUCUCAUAUUUUGUUCAGUUGCUACGAGAUCGUGCGCUGACCUGGGCACAAGCCGUGCUGAGCGCUAGUCCCGAAAUCACUUAUGAUGAUUUUUUGUCUCUGUUCCGGAGUGUUUUUGAUAAAGGCUCCACUGCUGCGGCGGCUGGGCUCCGCCUCAUGAAUCUGAAGCAAGGUAAGCGGAGCAUGGCAGAUUUUUCAGUUGACUUUUGGACACUAGCGACGCAAGCGGGGUGGGGGCAGGAAGCAUUAAAGACGGCACUGCUAAAUAAUGUGAGCGAGGAGAUUAAAGAUGAACUGAUGGUGCGUGAGUUACCCUCCUCUUUAGGUGCGAUCAUGUCCCUAUGCAUCCGAAUAGACGAUCGCCUGCGUGCACGGCGAAGCACGCAACGUCGCUUCGCUCAGCCUCGGCAACCGAGGGAUGCCUCACCGGGGCCUGGAGCGGCACGCGAGCACUGCGAGGUUGAGGAGGAGGAGCAGCCCAUGCAACUUGGACGUUCGCAGCUCUCGCCCGCAGAACGUCAACGGCGUAUGGCCGCCGGUCAAGCCAGUGGUCUCCAGCCCGGUAUGCCCUCGUUCCAGGCCCCCGCCGCCCCCCCGGCUCGUGGAUGGCCAGCUGGUUUACACCGUCUCGUGCAUCAUGGACUCCCGGCGCCGGGGUCGGGGAUUUCAGUACCUGGUUGACUGGGAGGGCUACGGGCUAGAGGAACGUUCCUGGGUGCCCCGGUCGGCUAUCGUGGAUAGGGGUCUGCUCCGCGACUUCCACCGCCUGCACCCGGGUAAGCCUGGUGGGUCGCCGGGAGGCUCCCGUUGAGGGGGGGGGUACUGUCAUGGUCCCUGUGCCUCCCCGGCCAGCCCAGUGUGGCCACAAGUGUUUGUUGUUUUUCUCUCGCUCUCUCUCUCCUACCUGUCUGCCUGGGCGGAGCUCUGAUUGGGCUCCUGCCCUUGGCCCACGCACCUGCAGCUGAUCUCGAGCGAAUUGCAGUUCUCUGGCUCUU
ensembl:lncRNA